rnacentral:rRNA from 1 species
UACAGAGGUCUCAAGCGUUGUUCGGAAUUACUGGGCGUAAAGCGUGCGUAGGCGGCGGGGUAAGUCAGAUGUGAAAGCCCAGGGCUCAACCUUGGAACUGCAUCCGAUACUGCCCCGCUAGAGUAGUGGAGGGGCGACUGGAAUUUACGGUGUAGCAGUGAAAUGCGUAGAUAUCGUAAGGAACACUAGUGGCGAAGGCGAGUCGCUGGACACUUACUGACGCUGAGGCACGAAGGCCAGGGUAGCGAAAGGG